rnacentral:rRNA from 1 species
GUGGGGAAUCUUAGACAAUGGGCGCAAGCCUGAUCUAGCCAUGCCGCGUGAGCGAUGAAGGCCUUAGGGUUGUAAAGCUCUUUCAGUGGGGAAGAUAAUGACUGUACCCACAGAAGAAGCCCCGGCUAACUCCGUGCCAGCAGCCGCGGUAAUACGGAGGGGGCUAGCGUUGUUCGGAAUUACUGGGCGUAAAGCGCACGUAGGCGGACUGGAAAGUCAGGGGUGAAAUCCCGGGGCUCAACCCCGGAACUGCCUUUGAAACUCCCAGUCUUGAGGUCGAGAGAGGUGAGUGGAAUUCCGAGUGUAGAGGUGAAAUUCGUAGAUAUUCGGAGGAACACCAGUGGCGAAGGCGGCUCACUGGCUCGAUACUGACGCUGAGGUGCGAAAGCGUGGGGAGCAAACAGGAUUAGAAACCCGUGUAGUCC